ACGCUCGACACCUACGAGGCAGCAGUGGGGAAUAUUGGGCAAUGGGCGCAAGCCUGACCCAGCAACGCCGCGUGAAGGAAGAAGGCCCUCGGGUUGUAAACUUCUUUUGACAGGGACGAAACAAAUGACGGUACCUGUCGAAUAAGCCACGGCUAACUACGUGUCAGCAGCCGCGGUAAUCUGAGCGGGCUGGCAAGGC
rnacentral:rRNA from 1 species